AAUGUUUUUUUGUUUUUGUUUUCUGAGACAGGGUUUCUCUGUGUAGUCCUGGCUGUCCUGGAACUUGAUCUAUAGACCAGACUGGCCUUGAACUCAGUGCUGAUAUGCCAUAACCACCCAGCUAUUUUUCAAGGAAAUAAACAAAAAAAAAUUAUUAAAUUUAAUUAAAGGAAGUAUUCACUUAAAAUUUUAAAUUAUUUAUUACAAUAAACUUAAGACUUAUAAAUGUUUCAGUUUUAGAGAUGAAAUAGCGUAACAUCUUGUCCACCUCAGGUAGAUGUCAAAUGCAUGUUUUCACUCGGGAGAAGCAGCUUGCAGAACCCAUCACAACAACCUUAAAAAUCGGACUUAUUUCAACUGCAAAUUACAGUUAAUACGGUAAAUUUUCUUGCUGCAAUUAAAGCAGAUCAAAGAUUCAGUUAAGGCAGGUAUUUGGACUGUUAAAUGUGCCACAAGCUUUUUAAAUGUCUUCACCCUUCUAAAUUGGCACUAGAACAUUUCAUUUACAGAGUCAGAUUAUAUUAGUAAGGCAUAUGCUAGAAAGAAUUCAGUAUUUUAAAAUAAAGAAGUCAAAAGACCAAAUCAAAUAUGAAAUGUGUAGCAAUUUUUAGUUCAUUUUCAAGAAAAGAUGUUUAGUAAUAAAUGGUCACAUCAUAUCUUUUGCAAGGCAGAAUGCAAAAGAUGGGCAGCUGGCGGCAUUCUCGCUGGUAAUUAGAGAUCAUCGUGUUUUAGCUGCAGAAGGAAGCCAGGUAGGUCAUAUCAACAUUCCGUUAUUCAGGAGCAGGCUUAUGUCUGUUUUGGAGUCCAGCAACUCUGUGGGGCUGUAUGAGUACUAUCAGCUAGGAAAAUGAGGUCCACGGUACCCAGGAGGCUCAGGUCAGGAGCCCUGCUGCACUGGGAGCCUCACAAAGGGAGAGCAACUGUGUGUUCGGUAGCUGACUUAAUUUCCACCAGGGCCAGGGACCAGGUAAAAAGACUUGGCUGCGAAACUGGGGUGCCUUCACAGAAUCUUUGAAGAUUCCCAUAUCCUUUCUCCCUAAGCAACUGCUCUCUCUCUUUCUCCAGCACUGUUGUGAGGAAAACUGAUACUCAGUUGCUGUGGUUUCCUUUUCUUCUGAAAUUUCCUGUUUUACUUUUUGCCCUGAAGCACUCAGAAUUCUGAAGCUUCAACAGUAUCUUCCUAGCAUGCACUUGGGUGGUGCCAAGCAUUAGCUCUUUUAGAAGUAUACAGUACUGAGGAUACAUGGUUUCCACCCUCAGGGCCUUUAUUGUCUGAUGGGGAAGACAAACACUGAAAUAAAGUGAACAGACACACAAGGGUAUCAACUACUCUACGAAAAGAACAGUCUAAAUGCAGUGAGUGGAGGGAAGGAGACAUAAAUGUUACACCAAAGGAGUUCUCGGAUUUUAAUCCGGCUUAGGUUUGUUCUCUACAGUGUGCAGUGCAGGCCCACUCUGGGAAACGAUGCAUCUAUGCAUCCGUGGCUUGGCUUUCCCCUCGCGGGCAGCCUAACUCUGCAGUCCCUGCUGCUCUGAUAUGGAGGCUUGUUACUCCCAAAUAAAUCACAGUAUAAAGACCUGCUGCUCUUUUGGUAAAUUAUUUUCUGGUAAUCUCAUAAGUGUUCCUCGGCCUUUGUUUUCUGUUUCCUUUAUUACCAGCCCACCUCUCCAUGCACUAAUAUCAAAUAUUACCCCAGACACUAGAAUGUUCAAAUUUUCUAGUUAAUGUUUUAUUUGACAGCUAAGCUACAAAUAAAAAAAUUCCAGCGUGGGACUCUGCACGACUGCCUCUGAAUGUAGCCGGAAAGAACCCGACUGCUGAGGAAGGUUGUGCUGUUGCCUCUGCUGCGCUGGCUGUACCCUGAAAACAUGAUUUAUGUUGCAAGAAUUUCCUGCUACAACCCCCCCUCCCUAGUCUAAUAAGAGAAGGAUUAUUUUGGCUUGUGUGCUAAAAUAUAAUUGAAUUCAACACUUGUGAUGGCUUUGCUAUUAUAUAUUAACUGAUUAUACAAGUUUUCCAUGCUUGUCUACCAAACUUAAGGAAAAAAAUUGUUGAUAUUAUCUUUUGUCAUAAAAAACACAAGUUCCUAUUUUCCUCACUGAAAUUACUUUUAAAUAAAACUAGUGGCUGAGUUAUGUAUACAAGAAAGU
rnacentral:lncRNA from 1 species